rnacentral:rRNA from 1 species
GUGAGGAAUAUUGCGCAAUGGAGGCAACUCUGACGCAGCCAUGCCGCGUGCAGGAAGAAGGCGCUACGCGUUGUAAACUGCUUUUAACCGGGAAGAAACCCCAGGACGUGUCCUGGGUUGACGGUACCGGAGGAAUAAGCACCGGCUAACUUCGUGCCAGCAGCCGCGGUAAUACGAAGGGUGCAAGCGUUAUCCGGAUUCAUUGGGUUUAAAGGGUGCGUAGGGGGAGCGUUAAGUCAGUGGUGAAAUCCUGCAGCUUAACUGUAGACUUGCCAGUGAUACUGGCGCUCUUGAGUGCGCUUGAAGUGGGCGGAAUGUGCCGUGUAGCGGUGAAAUGCUUAGAUAUGGCACAGAACACCAAUUGCGAAGGCAGCUCACUAAGGCGAUACUGACGCUGAGGCACGAAAGCGUGGGGAUCGAACAGGAUUAGAAACCCCUGUAGUCC